GGACCCUUGGCGCAGCCAGGGAGCGCAGCAGGCUUUUAACCUGUUAGUCCGGGGUUCAAAUCCCCGAGGGUCCG
rnacentral:tRNA from 1 species